AUUAUAUCAACGGCUGGCUAGCUCGGUGGAGUGCGCGAUCUCAUCUCAACCGGAAACUAUAAGGAUUGUCGUUCCUAUCUAGGAUUUGGAGUCACGCGUGUUUGACACAUAUUUUAAACGUCUUUACAGUUAUUUAAAGAAUGAAGGUGGUGGUCAGUUUUUUCGUCGCUUUGCUGGUUUUUGCCAUCUCAGCAAUGCCUAACGGGCCCACCAAAGAUAUUGAAAUACCACACCAAGCAAGUACGCCUUCCCAGCCAUCAUUUCAGAUGGGAAUUAUGGUUGACAAUGAUUCUUCCAUUGAGGGACUGUCGAGCAGCAAUGACAACCCAAGCUAUAGUCACAAAAAUGAUGAUUCCAGUGAGUCUUCUGAAUUGUUAGGAUUUAAUCUGUCACUUUUGCCUACUUCUUCCGUUUUUUGGCGCCAACCCAAUGUUCCAGAAAUUACAAGAAUCUUUACGGGUGAUCCGAGAUCAAUUAAACGCUUUGUGGAGCUUUAAUGAAGACAAUAGGCCUUCAUUCGAUUUGCCUGACAAUUACGUCAACAGCACUUCACAUUCGAAACUCAUCAACGGUACGCUCGUGACUGUCAAUGAAACCAUCUUCAAGACUACAAACCAGGAUGGCAUACAAUCUUUUUACCACACGAAAGCCAUAUCGGUGUAUCCAGAUAACGAGACGGAUAUUACUCAUCAUAAAGAACACAGUCACGAGAAAGGACCAAGGGUAGAUCACACACCGAUGCAAAAUUUCGGGAUGCUGCAAAAGUGAUGCACGCCAACUUAGAAGGUUCAGCUGCUGAGAUUAAAGCGUGAUCAACACUUUGAACCCUUUACGAUCAAGGACGCUGGAGCCUGGAGGUCAUUGCAGAAGACAUACUAUUUAAAGUUAAGCGCUUCCAACCUUAUUCAUGUGUACACUAUUUUUCUUUUUGUUUGAGCAGCGUAUACUUUAUUAUUUGUUCCGAAAUAUCAUUUAAUUCUUCACCUCUUCACGAACACUAUGGAUCCAGAUGGACGAUUUCGCUUAUCCGGUUUAGGAACUCAACUCUCAUUAAAGACCAAUUUAACCAUAAUUGAAAUAAGAAUUUGAGGCUAACGGUGAGGUAGAUAUUGAACAUUCACUGUUUAUCAAUGUAUUCUUGGUGGCAAAUAGAAAAUUCUGCAAACUAA